GCGAUGGGUCGCUCCUUCUUCUCUGCAGAUCGACUACUUCGAGCGGAACGAUGGGAGCUUGCUCCCAGGCGUCGAGCGGCGGACGGGUGAGUAACACGUGGGAAUCUGCCCAUUAGUGGGGGAUAACUCGGGGAAACUCGAGCUAAUACCGCAUAAUCCCUACGGGGGAAAGCAGGGGAUCUUCGGACCUUGCGCUGAUGGAUGAGCCCGCGUCGGAUUAGCUUGUUGGUGGGGUAAUGGCCCACCAAGGCGACGAUCCGUAACUGGUCUGAGAGGAUGGCCAGUCACACCGGGACUGAGACACGGCCCGGACUCCUACGGGAGGCAGCAGUGGGGAAUCUUGGACAAUGGGCGCAAGCCUGAUCCAGCCAUGCCGCGUGUGUGAAGAAGGCCUUCGGGUUGUAAAGCACUUUCAGUAGGGAGGAAGGCUUUGGGCUAAUACCCUGGAGUACUUGACGUUACCUACAGAAGAAGCACCGGCUAAUUUCGUGCCAGCAGCCGCGGUAAUACGAAAGGUGCGAGCGUUAAUCGGAAUUACUGGGCGUAAAGCGCGCGUAGGCGGUGUGUUAAGUCGGAUGUGAAAGCCCAGGGCUCAACCUUGGAAUUGCAUCCGAUACUGGCACGCUAGAGUGCAGUAGAGGGAGGUGGAAUUUCCGGUGUACGGUGAAAUGCGUAAGAUCGGAGGGAACACCGGUGGCGAAGGCGGCCUCUGGACUGACACUGACCUGAAGUGCCAAAGCGUGGGGAGCAACAGGAUUAAUACCCGGUAUCCCCCCGAAAGAUGUCUACUAACCGUUGGGGUCCUUAUGAUUUGUGG
rnacentral:rRNA from 1 species